UACAGAGGGUGCAAGCGUUGUUCGGAAUUAUUGGGCGUAAAGGGUGCGUAGGCGGUCUGACAAGUCUGAUGUGAAAUCUAUGGGCUCAACCCAUAGUCUGCAUCGGAAACUGCCGGGCUUGAGUAUGGGAGAGGUGAGUGGAAUUCCUGGUGUAGCGGUGAAAUGCGUAGAUAUCAGGAGGAACACCUGUGGCGAAAGCGGCUCACUGGACCAUAACUGACGCUGAUGCACGAAAGCUAGGGGAGCAAACAGG
rnacentral:rRNA from 1 species